rnacentral:lncRNA from 1 species
UCUGGUCCUGUCAUUGUCGAGGUUGGUCCUGUCAGUCAGCGAUGGUCAUGUCACGUUUAAACUUUCUAUAUUUUUUAUAACAUUUAUUUUUCAAAAUAUGACAUAUUAUUUUAUAUUUCAAAUCUGAGAGAAUUCCUUUGAAAAAUAAAAAAAGUUAUUAGCAUUUUACUUUGGUCCUGUCAUUGUCGAUGUUGGUCAUGUCAUUAUCAGAGUUGGUCAUGUCACGUUUUCUAAAGUUUCUUACAAUUUUUUUUUAUUUUUUUUUCUUAAAUCUAUUUAUCAAAUGAUGAAAUCUUGUUAUAUAUCAAAUUUCAGAAAAAUAUUUUGAGAAAUAAAAGAGAAAUUAGCAAUUUCAUCUGGUCCAGUCAUUGUCGAGGUUGGUCUUGUCAAUCAGCGAUGGUCAUG